GAUGUAGCUUUUUUCUGUCUAAAAUCCAAGCAAGAAAUACCAGGGUAGCAUCCCAUUGAUUGGCUGGCUUGACGCGGAGCUUAUCGAAUAUUUCCAUUUUUAUCCCUCGAAUAUUGAUCGAAUAUGUAUGAAAUAUGAUGGUUAAAUGUUUCAUUCACAUUCGGUCAACGUUCGAGUGAUAAACAGAAAUAAUUGGAUCUUUACCAGCUGCAGAAAUGGCUACGGAGUCCUUUUAUAGUAGAGGUGGCUUUCCCUGCAACGAAGUGAAAAUUGAGGGGAUGGAGCAUUAAAGAAACAUGGAAACGUCUCCCUCGUGCUGGAUUUUGGAUAGUGGAUGGCAGGUCGAAUCUGCUACCAGCAUGCUAACGCUCAAGCUUCACAAGCAAGCAGUGACGCUGAUACCGUAUAUUUCCUCAAUCAAAAUAAACAGCUGUUGAAGGUGAGAAAAAGCUGGAUGGCCAAGGCACGAUUUGAAUGCUGAAGCCUUCUAUGAGGAUCCGAUCUAUUCAGGAAGUUAGGAGCUGGAUUUCUCUGAUUGCUGAUGAGCCCAGAAAACUAAUACAUGCGGUCAUAGACAGCAGCAUCAAGGCUAAUAAUGAUGCGUGCCACCGUCACUGCUAUCACAUCAUUGAGGAAUCAAAAUAUAAAACCAACUGUGAGAGAACCAAGGGAGAUACAUUCGUUCAAGGUUGCUACAUAAUUUGGAGAGGUGGCAAUAGGCCGGAAUGCAGCAUUGAACAGCAUCAACCUCGCUGUUCAGUUAAAAACUGUCAAAGCAUGCAGGCAUCACAAAAAUGGCCACAGAAGUGGUUGGUUUUAUGAGCAGCAAAGCUGGUGGUAUCACAUCCGAGAAAAAAAUAACAAAAAGACAUCCAUAAGAAGAAUAUAUCACUAGAAGUUCACUCCUUUUUCCAUCAGGGUUAUAGAGCUUCAUUUAAUAACACUUGUUUAGGGAAGAAAAAAAGAGUUUUCAUCCAAUAAUGACCUUUAAAAAGUAACAUAAAAUAAUAUUUUUUUUAUUUUUUAAAAUUUAA